rnacentral:rRNA from 1 species
UGCAGUCGAGCGAACAGAUAAGGAGCUUGCUCCUUUGACGUUAGCGGCGGACGGGUGAGUAACACGUGGGUAACCUACCUAUAAGACUGGGAUAACUUCGGGAAACCGGAGCUAAUACCGGAUAAUAUUUCGAACCGCAUGGUUCGAUAGUGAAAGAUGGUUUUGCUAUCACUUAUAGAUGGACCCGCGCCGUAUUAGCUAGUUGGUAAGGUAACGGCUUACCAAGGCGACGAUACGUAGCCGACCUGAGAGGGUGAUCGGCCACACUGGAACUGAGACACGGUCCAGACUCCUACGGGAGGCAGCAGUAGGGAAUCUUCCGCAAUGGGCGAAAGCCUGACGGAGCAACGCCGCGUGAGUGAUGAAGGUCUUCGGAUCGUAAAACUCUGUUAUUAGGGAAGAACAUACGUGUAAGUAACUGUGCACGUCUUGACGGUACCUAAUCAGAAAGCCACGGCUAACUACGUGCCAGCAGCCGCGGUAAUACGUAGGUGGCAAGCGUUAUCCGGAAUUAUUGGGCGUAAAGCGCGCGUAGGCGGUUUUUUAAGUCUGAUGUGAAAGCCCACGGCUCAACCGUGGAGGGUCAUUGGAAACUGGAAAACUUGAGUGCAGAAGAGGAAAGUGGAAUUCCAUGUGUAGCGGUGAAAUGCGCAGAGAUAUGGAGGAACACCAGUGGCGAAGGCGACUUUCUGGUCUGUAACUGACGCUGAUGUGCGAAAGCGUGGGGAUCAAACAGGAUUAGAUACCCUGGUAGUCCACGCCGUAAACGAUGAGUGCUAAGUGUUAGGGGGUUUCCGCCCCUUAGUGCUGCAGCUAACGCAUUAAGCACUCCGCCUGGGGAGUACGACCGCAAGGUUGAAACUCAAAGGAAUUGACGGGGACCCGCACAAGCGGUGGAGCAUGUGGUUUAAUUCGAAGCAACGCGAAGAACCUUACCAAAUCUUGACAUCCUUUGACAACUCUAGAGAUAGAGCUUUCCCCUUCGGGGGACAAAGUGACAGGUGGUGCAUGGUUGUCGUCAGCUCGUGUCGUGAGAUGUUGGGUUAAGUCCCGCAACGAGCGCAACCCUUAAGCUUAGUUGCCAUCAUUAAGUUGGGCACUCUAAGUUGACUGCCGGUGACAAACCGGAGGAAGGUGGGGAUGACGUCAAAUCAUCAUGCCCCUUAUGAUUUGGGCUACACACGUGCUACAAUGGACAAUACAAAGGGCAGCGAAACCGCGAGGUCAAGCAAAUCCCAUAAAGUUGUUCUCAGUUCGGAUUGUAGUCUGCAACUCGACUACAUGAAGCUGGAAUCGCUAGUAAUCGUAGAUCAGCAUGCUACGGUGAAUACGUUCCCGGGUCUUGUACACACCGCCCGUCACACCACGAGAGUUUGUAACACCCGAAGCCGGUGGAGUAACCAUUGGAGCUAGC